GACGAACGCUGGCGGCGUGCUUAACACAUGCAAGUCGAACGGAAAGGCCCUGCUUUUGUUGGGUGCUCGAGUGGCGAACGGGUGAGUAACACGUGAGUAACCUGUCCUUGACUUUGGGAUAACUUCAGGAAACUGGGGCUAAUACCGGAUAGGAGCUCCUGCUGCAUGGUGGGGGUUGGUAAGUUUCGGCGGUUGGGGAUGGACUCGCGGCUUAUCCGCUUGUUGGGGGGGUAGUGGCUUACCAAGGCUUUGACGGGUAGCCGGCCUGAGAGGGUGACCGGCCACAUUGGGACUGAGAUACGGCCCAGACUCCUACGGGAGGCAGCAGUGGGGAAUAUUGCACAAUGGGCGGAAGCCUGAUGCAGCAACGCCGCGUGCGGGAUGACGGCCUUCGGGUUGUAAACCGCUUUCGCCUGUGACGAAGCGUGAGUGACGGUAAUGGGUAAAGAAGCACCGGCUAACUACGUG
rnacentral:rRNA from 1 species